rnacentral:piRNA from 1 species
AUAGAAUAAAAAUAAUGGAAA